AUGCCUCGAACAGGUUUACCCAGAAACCAGACUAGCAACGUGAACAUUUUGAGUUGGAACUGCAGAGGAGGAGGGAAUUCUCGGACUGCUCGUGAUCUUGUGAGCUUGGUGCUGACUUAUUCCCCUAGUAUUGUUUUCUUGUGUGAAACUAGGCAGUCGAAGGAUAAAAUGAAAAGAUAUAGGCCUCACCUAGGUUUAAGUGGCUUUGAUGCAGUCGACAGUGUUAGUCUGAGUGGAGGUCUUGCUCUCUAUUGGCAUGAGUCGUUGAUUCUCAAUGUAAAAUCUAUGAACGAAAGACAUAUUGAUGCUUAUGUGAGUGGCGCAGCCGGUGAGCCCCCUUGGAGGCUCACGUGCGUCUACGGCGAGCCCCGGACGAAGGGCCGUCAUCACAUGUGGUCUCUGCAUCGGGGUCUUCAUCAACAAGCGGACAUGCCGUGGGUUGUGGUGGGAGACUUCAACGAGGCUAUGUGGAGUUACGAACACUUCUCCUAA
rnacentral:rRNA from 1 species